UCAGCAGCCCGCGGUAAUUCCAGCUCUGUAAGCGUAUACCAAAGUUGUUGCAGUUAAAACGCUCGUAGUCGGAAUUUGGCGGGCGAUGUGGGGCGUCUUAACCGACGAUCUCAUGUCGGCUGCCUUUGUGGAGGGGGGCCUAGUGGUGCUUUGCUGCAUUGCUAGGUUUCUGCCACCGUUUACUGUGAAAAAAUUAGAGUGUUCAAAGCGGGCGUUUGCCAUGAAUACAUUAGCAUGGAAUAAUAGAAUAGGACCUGUAUCCUGUUUUGUUGGUUUGUGAGGAUCGGGUAAUGAUUAAGAGGGACGGUUGGGGGCAUUUGUAUUCCGGCGUCAGAGGUGAAAUUCUUGGAUUGGCGGAAGACAAACAGCUGCGAAAGCGUCUGCCAAGGACGUUUUCAUUGAUCAAGAACGAAAGUAAGGGGAUCGAAGACGAUCAGAUACCGUCGUAGUCUUUACUAUAAACGAUGAGGACUGGAGAUCGGGUGAGACUGUUUUUGGCUCACCCGGCAUCCUUCGGGAAACCAAAGUAUUUGCUUUCUGGGGGGAGUAUGGUCGCAAGGCUGAAACUUAAAGGAAUUGACGGAAGGGCAUCACCGGGUGUGGAGCCUGCGGCUUAAUUUGACUCAAACACGGG
rnacentral:rRNA from 1 species